CCAGGCCAGGGAUUGAACCUGUGCCACAGCAGUGACCUGAGCCACAACAGUUGCAACACUGGAUCCUUAAUGCACUGAGCCACCAGGCAACUCUAAGGCCCUGAGAAUUUAAGGUGCCCCACACUGCCUUCAUCUUUGGAAAGUCAGUGCUUUCUGUAGGCUCACAGGACACUGAUUCAUCCAAUUUUGGCCUUACAUAAUCAUGAAUAUUUAUUAUAUACAAUUCUUUUUUUUUUUUUUGAGGGGGCUUUUUAGGGCUACACCCAUGGCAUAUGGAGGUUCCCAGGCUAGGGGUUGAAUCAGAGCUGCAUGGUGUGUGUGUGUGUGUGUGUGUGUGUGUGUGUGUUUGUGUGUUUUCUUUUUGUCCUUUCUCUGUUAAAUCUGUGUGCUUUUAGUGCAACACAUUUUAUUUUUCCAUCUGUAUGAUUUGCUUGAAGCUUGGUAUUUACAAUCAUAAAAGAAAAUAUGCUAAAUGUAUGAAGAAAAAUACAUUUUGUUGUAAAAUCUGAUUAUUCCAUACUGUUUAAGUCUGUUUCAAUGAGAAGGUUGUAAGAGGGUUUUGGCAUUAAUCUUCCAGAGUUUAGUAUUUGUUCAUGACAUGAAAAUGAGUCGGCAGCCAAUCAUUUCAUUAGACCUGUAGAAUCUUCUUCCAUUCCCCCUGUUACUGAUGUGGGUCAGCCUCUCUUUUAUUUUUUUCUCUUGGUAAAAUGUACCUAACAUAAAAGUGACCAUUUUAAGCACUUUUAAGUGUACAAGUAGAUUCACAUAAUUGUGCAACCUCCUCAUCAUUUUGUACCUGGGUUCCUGAGACAGCCUUCAGAAUCCAGUCUUGCUUCUAGGUUUGCCCCCAUUAAGGAAAGAAAUAGAAACCUUAUCUUUGUUGACCUAUUUUCACCACAUGCACGGGAGAAAAACGGAAAAAUGGAGGGGGUGUUCUUUGCCAUUUCUCCGGUGCUUUAGGCUACCUAGGUGGAACUUUAUCUUCAUCCGCAGAUAAAGUUCCAGGGGCAAAGAAGUGCAUGUUCCUGCUGCACCUGCGCAUCCCUAAUGCAGGUUUACUCCUUGCUCCGGGGACAUCACAGCCAAAGCGAUUGUUCUGUGAGCCUGGAAAACAUAAAUGCUCUUAAACUCAUUUAGCGUCAAAGCGUCUGCCACCAGAAGCACAAAUUUAGAGGUAAAAUCUUUAGCUUUAUACUGUGCAGAACUAAUCACUUCAAAAAACUAAAGUAGAACUAGUCAUUUCAAAAAAUUAAGAGGCAACGCUCUUAGAUGCCUGAACCUGGUACCCAGGGCACAGAGCGUAAAGGAGCCGGCCCCGCCCCGGCCCCACCCCCCGCCGCUGACGUCACCUGCUCUGCCCUGAGUCUGGAGCUGUCUUGGGAGGUAAGGGCAUCAAAAGUGAGGAGCCUGUUGACCAAACUGCUUCGGGUUUGGAGCCUUUGGCAGUGCAGUUUUGUAGCACUAGAUGUCAGUGUGGGCUUUCCCGACCGCCACCCUCGCUCCUCUGCAGGAGAUGUACCAGCCGGCACCCUGGAUCCUUCCUCAAGUCCUGGCAAACACAGGGCUAUUUUCAGAACUGUAAUUUCACCAAAUAUAUUAUCUACUUACAUAUUUUGACUUUUCAGAGUUCUUUUAAAACACAGAAACUUAGACUCAAGGGCUGUUCUUUUUAAUGCGGUAACCUUCUAAUCUCAGUGCUUGCACCCGAAAGGCAGCCUACCAUGUGAUGGAAAGUCUCAGCCCGUGAUCCUCUUAGGGUCUUUUAAAAGCAGCAUGCCACCUCACAUACCUGGAGUGCCCAGCUUUAGGAAACCAAGCCAUGCUACCAGGGCUCAAGAAUGGGGCAGGAAGCCAAGAAAAAUAUAUAUGAUUAGCCACAUAAGGAUUUCAUGGCCAUGUUAAUAGAUUUUUUUUUUUUUUUUGAGGCAGCUUGUAAUCAGGGAGCUUCUGAAGUCUCAAAGAACAGUCAUUACAUUACUUUUCUAUUGCUGCUGUAACAAAUUACCACAAACUGAGGUGCUUAAAACACAAAUUUAUUAUCCUGCAAUUUUAGAGGCAGAAAGCCAAAAUGGGUCUCCACUGAGCUAAAGUCAAGAUGUUGGCAGGGCUGUGUUCCUUUUGGAGGCUCUGGGGAGAAUCCAUUUUCUUGCCUUUUCCAGCUAUUAGAAGCCACCAGCAUUCCUUGGCCCAUGGCCCCUCUGUCUUCAAAGCCAGCGAUGGCAUUGAGUCCUUUCUGCACUACACACUAAGCUGCCUUUGCCUCUCCUCCUUCUUCUUUCAUCUUUUGUAGGGAACCUUGUUGGGUUUUUUGGUUUGGUUUGGGUUUGGGUGUUUUUGUUUUUUGUGGGUUUUUUGGUUUUUGUUUUGACAGCACCUGUGGUGUGUGGAAGUUCCCGAGCCAGGGAAUGAACCCAUGCCACAGCAGCAACCUGCAUCACAGCCGUGACAAUGCCAAAUCCUUAAUCCGCUGUGCCACCAGGAAACUCCUACAAGAAACCUUGUAAUUAAAUUGGGUCCACUUAUAUAAUACAGACAAUGUCCCUAUCACAAGACCCUUAAUUUAUUUACACCCAUAAAGUCCUUCUUGCCAAGUAAGGUAACAUAUUCACAGGUUCCAGGGAUGAGGGCACAGACAUCUUUAGGUGGGCAUUUUUCUGCCUAUCGAAAUUGUUAUUUUAAAUAAAAUAAGACGCAGUUUUUGAGGUGAUGAACUUUUGUAGCAGACUGCGUGGGAAAAUACCAAGGUCUAAAUAUCCUUCACUUGUGCAACGUUAGCAAGGAAGAAAGAUAAUUUGCCACAGCCGGCAUUGAUAUUUGGUCAUCCUCCAACCUGACUGUGCACAGCGCUACCUCUGCUGCCCCUUGUGACUCUCCAUCUUCAGGAUGCCUGUCCUAGGAACAGCAACGAGUUGGUUCGGGGUGAACAGACAGAGAGGGGAAGAUGUGAUUCUUGCACCGAGAAGCAUUGUGCAAAAUGAAACCCAGGGCUCUGAGAAACCAGUUUACACCACCAUGCAAAUUCAAUAUGGGACUGGAUGUCUAAAGCUAACAGCAUUUAACCCCAUGCCUUGCCACAUCCUAAAGGCUUAGAUCUGCCUGGUAAAUAAAGCUGAAUUCAUAUCCCCACUGCUCAGUCUCGAUCUUUCCUCCAUCUUUCCUACCCUGUGCUCCCAGGGACUCAAAACCUUGCCUGUCAUCCUUGAGUGUCCCUUCUCGGUCAUGCACAAUAUCCGGUUGGUCUCCAGGACCUAUGGUAGCUACUGUCUUAGUAGCUUUUGAGUCUCCUAAUUAGUCUUCUGUCUCACUGUGCUUUCCUCCCUCCUGUCAAGAAAUUCUCCAAAAUACUCCAGAGUUAUCUUUCUAAACUGUAUAUAUAGUUAUGCUACUUCCCUCUUUGGCGAAGUGGUUCCCUUUUGUCUCCUGGGUUGAUUCCAAGCUCUUAGCCCAGCCGACCAAGCUAGUCAGCCUCUGCCUCAACCUAUUUUUGCAGCCUAUUUGCUCGCUUAUAGCCUCCGCCUCCUCCUCAUUCUGGCUCUAAGGGACCGCUUGCUGUUCUUUGGAUGCUCAGAGCUCUCCCAUGUUUGAUGCUCUCCCCAGCCUGGAAUGCCUUUGGCUGCGUAAGCCAACUCUCUCUCAAGAUUCAGCUCAGUAUCACUUCUGGGAAUUCCUCUUUGACCUGCACCCAACCCCCAUCCCUGCACUCGGCUCCAGCACUGCAGUCGAACCAUCUCAUUAUUUAUAUCUAUGUCCCCUGUCUCUGUGCUGGAAAGCUUUUGAAGGCGGGGACCCUUGGUUUCAUGUUGUAUCUCCAAAUGGGAAGCACAGAGCAUGGUCAUUACAAAUGCACACUUUUUUUUCUAAAAGAAUGAAGCAGCAGUUCCCAAGGUAUUCUGAUAUUUCCAUGCACCAGAGAUGACCUAGUUCAGGGCUAUGUUCCAAAACCUACCCUGUUUAGACUUGUAUCCCUAGAGUGCAGCCAGAGCCCAGCUAGUUUCUGGGAAAAAGAGGGUGGGGCAAGUUGAACGGUAGCUCUUAUUGCUCUGUUUUCUUUCUGGUUGCCAGGGAGAGAUCAUCCUGCAAUUAUGAGUUUGCCACUUCUAACCUGGCCUCACCUGGGGACCGACAUCAAUCAAUAACACCUCAAAUGGGAUUGGCCACUGAAGGUAUGACCUGCCCUGGCUGAAAAGCAUAGGAGAUGGCCAGUGUGACACAUGCAAACCGAGUGUGGUAAUGACAGCCAGUAGUGAUGGUAAUGACAGUCAGUAGUGAUGCAGGACAGGUUUCUUGUCCCUGCUGCCCCUCGUGAUCCACAGCAGUGACGGAUGUCUCCUGUCUGCAGACUGUCUUAGAAAAAGCAGGCACUGUGGGGAGUUAAAAAUAAAACAGAAACAGAGUUCUGUACUUGGGAGGCUUAUGCAAUCCAUCGAGGCCUAAAAUAAGGGGCUUGCUUUUACUGGGGCUUUUGGCUACCUCUUGGGGUAAGGGAGGAGGUGGUAAGGGAAAAUGCCUUUUAUUACU
rnacentral:lncRNA from 1 species